rnacentral:lncRNA from 1 species
AUGCAGGGCUGGAGGGCUCCCUUACCGGCUCGCGCGCCGUCCCUGCUCAGCUGAGCCUCCCCCAGCACAGCGGCUUCUCCAGCAGCCCGGCCUCCCAAAGCAAACUUGAGACCAACUUUAAAGGCAAAAUUCCCAAAUCGCCUUUCCUUGGGAGCCCCCCUCAACGACGGGCUGUGCCAAGGCCCGGCACCGGGUGGCCCCAAGAUUCUGGCGCCCAAGACCCCGGGCAGGGAGGAGCACCCCACCUGCCUGCGUCCCGGCCACCUGCGCCUCUUCUGAGCCUCGCCAGGCGUCGCCCGCUUUGCCGCUGGAAGACAAGAAGCGAGAAAAAAGUAAGAAAGUGUGGGAGGAGGAACAAGUAUGGCAGGAGGUCACCUAAAACUCCUUCCCUGCUAAAAAGAAACCAGCACAACCCGGAAUGGUGGAACCUUUCCCAGCCGAGGACGGAUAAUCAGGCUAUCUGCAGCUUUCUGGCCCUCUGGCAAGCUCUGAGCAUGAUCAAUAUUUAAAUAAGUACUUGGCUUUCAACUUCCCUCGGUUCAAAUAUUAAGCAAAGUGGAUGCGAGCAACCUUAAAAGAAGCCGGUGAAUAUAUGAGGCAGGAAGCUGUCGGGUGUGUCAACGACCCUUUGCGUCUGAUUGACUCUGCUCCUCUAGGUACGGGUUACUCUGGACACUCGGCGCUAAACUUGGCGAAGACCCCAUCUGUUUAGACUUCAAAGCCUGCAUAGGGUCAGUCCCCAGACGGGGACGUUCGCCCAAGAAACCCGGUGGGUAAAUCCGUUGGGAAAAUUCUAGCUUCCUGUGAGUAGGAUGCCAGCGUCCCAGCUCAGUUCUGUCUUUUCCAGUUAAUCACCCUUACAGACCUCCUCCAUAAACCCCUCUUCGUUGUCCUGGUUUCUGCCGGCCUCUGGACUUGGACGGAGCUUAAUGACCUUACCACAAUUAAGCAUGUGAUUAUAGUCACUGUCAUAUGUCAGACUGUUACAGGUUCUCGACCUCUCUUGUCUCAAGUACAAAGACUGUUUCUUAUCCCCGUCACCUCCACAGUCCUAACUAGGACGCCUGUGGAGUCUUUAAUACCUGUAUUGAGACUCUAGCUCCGGAGUAUUUAAAAUUGGGUUUUGUACAUGGGAGACUCCUAACUCCGGGAAAUGAACAAGGGGUAGUGGAAAG